rnacentral:rRNA from 2 species
GCUUAACACAUGCAGUCGAACGAUGAACCUCACUUGUGGGGGGAUUAGUGGCGAACGGGUGAGUAACACGUGAGUAACCUGCCCUUGACUCUGGGAUAAGCCUGGGAAACUGGGUCUAAUACCGGAUAUGACCUUCCAUCGCAUGGUGGUUGGUGGAAAGCUUUUGUGGUUUUGGAUGGACUCGCGGCCUAUCAGCUUGUUGGUGGGGUAAUGGCCUACCAAGGCGACGACGGGUAGCCGGCCUGAGAGGGUGACCGGCCACACUGGGACUGAGACACGGCCCAGACUCCUACGGGAGGCAGCAGUGGGGAAUAUUGCACAAUGGGCGCAAGCCUGAUGCAGCGACGCCGCGUGAGGGAUGACGGCCUUCGGGUUGUAAACCUCUUUCAGUAGGGAAGAAGCGAAAGUGACGGUACCUGCAGAAGAAGCGCCGGCUAACUACGUGCCAGCAGCCGCGGUAAUACGUAGGGCGCAAGCGUUAUCCGGAAUUAUUGGGCGUAAAGAGCUCGUAGGCGGUUUGUCGCGUCUGCCGUGAAAGUCCGGGGCUCAACUCCGGAUCUGCGGUGGGUACGGGCAGACUAGAGUGAUGUAGGGGAGACUGGAAUUCCUGGUGUAGCGGUGAAAUGCGCAGAUAUCAGGAGGAACACCGAUGGCGAAGGCAGGUCUCUGGGCAUUAACUGACGCUGAGGAGCGAAAGCAUGGGGAGCGAACAGGAUUAGAUACCCUGGUAGUCCAUGCCGUAAACGUUGGGCACUAGGU